AGAGUUUGAUCAUGGCUCAGGAUGAACGCUGGCGGCGUGCUUAACACAUGCAAGUCGAACGAACCUUCGGGUUAGUGGCGGACGGGUGAGUAACGCGUGAGAAUCUGCCCUCAGGAGGGGGAUAACGGUUGGAAACGACCGCUAAUACCCCAUAUGCCUACGGGUGAAAUGAAUUUCGCCUGAGGAUGAGCUCGCGUCUGAUUAGCUAGUUGGUGAGGUAAUGGCUCACCAAGGCUUCGAUCAGUAGCUGGUCUGAGAGGAUGAUCAGCCACACUGGGACUGAGACACGGCCCAGACUCCUACGGGAGGCAGCAGUGGGGAAUUUUCCGCAAUGGGCGAAAGCCUGACGGAGCAACGCCGCGUGAGGGACGAAGGCCUCUGGGCUGUAAACCUCUUUUCUCAAGGAAGAAGAUAUGACGGUACUUGAGGAAUAAGCCACGGCUAAUUCCGUGCCAGCAGCCGCGGUAAUACGGGAGUGGCAAGCGUUAUCCGGAAUUAUUGGGCGUAAAGCGUCCGCCAGGCGGCUUUUCAAGUCUGCUGUUAAAACGUGGAGCUUAACUCCAUCAUGGCAGUGGAAACUGAGAGGCUUGAGUAUGGUAGGGGCAGAGGGAAUUCCCGGUGUAGCGGUGAAAUGCGUAGAUAUCGGGAAGAACACCAGUGGCGAAGGCGCUCUGCUGGGCCAUUACUGACGCUCAUGGACGAAAGCCAGGGGAGCGAAAGGGAUUAGAUACCCCUGUAGUCCUGGCCGUAAACGAUGAACACUAGGUGUCGGGGGAAUCGACCCCUUCGGUGUCGUAGCUAACGCGUUAAGUGUUCCGCCUGGGGAGUACGCACGCAAGUGUGAAACUCAAAGGAAUUGACGGGGGCCCGCACAAGCGGUGGAGUAUGUGGUUUAAUUCGAUGCAACGCGAAGAACCUUACCAGGGUUUGACAUCCUGCGAACCUCUUAGAAAUUUGAGGGUGCCUUCGGGAAUGCAGUGACAGGUGGUGCAUGGCUGUCGUCAGCUCGUGUCGUGAGAUGUUGGGUUAAGUCCCGCAACGAGCGCAACCCACGUUUUUAGUUGCCAGCAUUUAGUUGGGCACUCUAGAAAGACCGCCGGUGAUAAACCGGAGGAAGGUGUGGAUGACGUCAAGUCAUCAUGCCCCUUACACCCUGGGCUACACACGUACUACAAUGCUACGGACAAAGGGCAGCAAACUCGCGAGAGCUAGCAAAUCCCAUAAACCGUGGCUCAGUUCAGAUCGUAGGCUGCAACUCGCCUACGUGAAGUAGGAAUCGCUAGUAAUCGCAGGUCAGCAUACUGCGGUGAAUACGUUCCCGG
rnacentral:rRNA from 2 species